UUAGUGGCGAACGGGUGAGUAACGCGUGGGCAACCUGCCCUCUAGAUGGGGACAACAUCCCGAAAGGGGUGCUAAUACCGAAUGUGACAGCAAUCUCGCAUGAGGAUGCUGUGAAAGAUGGCCUCUAUUUAUAAGCUAUCGCUAGAGGAUGGGCCUGCGUCUGAUUAGCUAGUUGGUGGGGUAACGGCCUACCAAGGCGAUGAUCAGUAGCCGGUCUGAGAGGAAGGUCCCCACAUUGGAACUGAGACACGGUCCAAACUCC
rnacentral:rRNA from 1 species